UGCAUGUCUAAGCAUGAGCUGAAUUAUAGUGAAACCGCGAAUAGCUCAUUACAAUAGCUGUUGUUUCUUGGAUCUCCAAUUUACUUGGAUAACUGUGGUAAUUCUAGAGCUAAUACAUGCGACUAAGCGCCGAUCUCACGUGACGCGUGCAUUUAUUAGAUCAAAACCAUCCGGCCUCGGCCGUUCUUUGGUGACUCUGAAUAACUCAGCUGAUCACACGGUCUAGUACCGGUGACAUAUACCGGUGACAUAUCUUUCAAGUGUCUACCUUAUCAACUUUCGAUGGUAGGUUAUGUGCCUACCAUGGUUGUAACGGGUAACGGAGAAUCAGGGUUUGACUCCGGAGAGGGAGCCUGAGAAACGGCUACCACUUCUAAGGAAGGCAGCAGGCGCGCAAAUUACCCAUUCUCGGCAUGAGGAGGUAGUGACGAAAAAUACCGAGGCGGUUCUCUAAGAGGCCCGUUAUCGGAAUGAGUACAAUGUAAACCCUUUAACGAGGACCUAUGAGAGGGCAAGUCUGGUGCCAGCAGCCGCGGUAAUUCCAGCUCUCAAGGUGUAUAUCGCCAUUGCUGCGGUUAAAAAGCUCGUAGUUGGAUCUACGGUUUUCGGAGCCGGUCCACCCAAUGGGUGCGAACUGGUUUCCAAGCCUCUAGUCGCUGGUCUACCCUUGAUGCUCUUAACCGGGUGUCCUGGGUGGCUAGUGAGUUUACUUUGAAAAAAUUAGAGUGCUCAAGACAGGCUUCAGUGCCUGAAUAGUGGUGCAUGGAAUAAUAGAAUAGGACCUCGGUCCAUUUUAUUGGUUUUGGUCCCGAGAUAAUGGUUAAGAGGGACAGACGGGGGCAUUCGUAUCGCUGCGUGAGAGGUGAAAUUCUUGGACCGUAGCGGGACGCCCUACUGCGAAAGCAUUUGCCAAGAAUGUCUUCAUUAAUCAAGAACGAAAGUCAGAGGUUCGAAGGCGAUCAGAUACCGCCCUAGUUCUGACCGUAAACGAUGCCAACCAGCGAUCCGCCAGUGGCACUCUGCCCUGGCGGGGAGCUUCCCGGAAACGAAAGUCUUCCGGUUCCGGGGGAAGUAUGGUUGCAAAGCUGAAACUUAAAGGAAUUGACGGAAGGGCCCCACCAGGAGUGGAGCCUGCGGCUUAAUUUGACCCAACACGGGAAAACUCACCCGGCCCGGACACUGUAAGGAUUGACAGAUUGAUAGCUCUUUCUUGAUUCGGUGGUUGGUGGUGCAUGGCCGUUCUUAGUUGGUGGAGCGAUUUGUCUGGUUUAUUCCGAUAACGAACGAGACUCUGGCCUACUAAAUAGUGACUGUAUCCGAAAGAGUGCAGUGCACUUCUUAGAGGGAUAAGUGGUGUUCAGCCACAUGAAAAGGAGCAAUAACAGGUCUGUGAUGCCCUUAGAUGUCCGGGGCUGCACGCGCGCUACACUGGAGGAAUCAGCGUGCAUUGCCAUUGUCGAAAGGCAUUGGUAAACCGGUCAAAAUCCUUCGUGAUCGGGAUUGGGAAUUGCAAUUAUUUCCCUUGAACGAGGAAUUCCCAGUAAGUGCGAGUCAUCAGCUCGCGCUGAUUACGUCCCUGCCCUUUGUACACACCGCCCGUCGCUGCCCGGGACUGGACCGUUUCGAGAAAGGCGGGGACUGCCGCUGUUGGGGCUUUCGGGCCUUGGCAUGUGGUGGAAACCGCUCUGAUCGCAGUGGUCUGAACCGGGC
rnacentral:rRNA from 1 species